UACGUAGGGCGCAAGCGUUGUCCGGAAUUAUUGGGCGUAAAGAGCUCGUAGGCGGCUUGUCACGUCGGGUGUGAAAGCCCGGGGCUUAACCCCGGGUCUGCAUUCGAUACGGGCAGGCUAGAGUGUGGUAGGGGAGAUCGGAAUUCCUGGUGUAGCGGUGAAAUGCGCAGAUAUCAGGAGGAACACCGGUGGCGAAGGCGGAUCUCUGGGCCAUUACUGACGCUGAGGAGCGAAGGUCAGGGGAGCAAACGGG
rnacentral:rRNA from 1 species